rnacentral:tRNA from 1 species
UGGGGAAUAGCUCAAUGGUAGAGCACAUGCCUAGCAUGCACGAGGUCCUGGGUUCAAUCCCUAGUGCCUCCA